GUCUCUGUGGCGCAAUUGGUUAGUUCCUUAGACUGUUAAUCUAAAGUUUGGUGGUUCAAGCCCACCCGGGGACG
rfam:Salmo salar isolate Sally breed double haploid chromosome ssa07, whole genome shotgun sequence.